AUUUUCUUCGCCAAAUCGCAUUAUAUCACUCGACCCCCCAAAAAACCCUAGCUCAUUCCGGUACUUUCUCUCUUUCGGCGCCUUCGUCGAUCUCGCCGUCUCCAACACACAGAAGCACGCCGGCGUCUAGGUGUUGCUUCCCCUUCCCUCACUGGCGUCCGAUCUCCGCCGCCUCAUCGUCAACACCGCCGGCCAGUCCAUCAUCGUAGGACAUCGAUUGCUGCCUCCAGCUCUCCGGCACCCGCGGCGAAGCCAGGAAGUAGAAGAAGGUCAAGGAGUCAAAGGAGAAGAAGGCGAAAGAGUCGAAGGAGAAAGGCGAGAGCAAGGUGACCCUCUCUAGGCUGCUCAACUUCAUCGACGGCCUCUGAUCGACGUUCGGCGGUGAUCAACGCAUCGUCUUCAUCACCAACCACGUGGAGAAGCUGGGCCCGGGGCUGAUAAGGAAGGGGAGGAUGGUCAUGCACGUCGAGCUGGGGCAUUGCGAGGUCGAGGCCUUCAAGAUCUUAGCCAAGAACUACCUGGAAGUGGAGGCACAUCCCCUGUUCGAGAAGGUGAGAGAGCUUCUGGUGGCGGUGAAGAUUUUGUCGACUAGAGUAGCUGAUGCCCAAGAACAUAUGUGCCCACGACAAGGCCACCGGAUGCUUAUUCAGAUUUCAGAGUCAGCUUCGUCCAAUGUCUAUGGUUUUAGGGCUCUUUAGCACUAUAAGAUGUGCAGUAACUGAAACAAGUGUUUACAGCUAGGAACUUACGGAAACCCUAGACUUGUACUGGAAUCAUCUUGGAUUUCGAUGGGUUCCCACUGAUUAUAUGCAUACGAUGAAAUGUACCUAAAAUGGGAUAUUCAUAGAAGGAGAAUUGAUACAUUAUGGGCAGGAUAAGAAGAAAGGAAAAAGGUCUUGAGGCAUUAUGAUUUGUAUUUUUUUUUUGUCGUUUAGAUGACUUGUUAGGUUUGUUGUUUAUAUUAUGACGGUUGAACUUUGAUAUGUUUGGAUAUUAUAAUUUGUUAUUUCGAUGUUGUUUUAUUAUGUAUGAAUAUGAAAUGUUUAAUUUUAAUUUACUUCUUUGAUUGUUAA